rnacentral:rRNA from 1 species
AUGAACGCUGGCGGCGUGCCUAAUCCCUGCCAGUCGCACGCUGGAGAUCUAGCUUGCUAGCUCGAAGGAGUGGCGAACGGGUGAGUAAUACAUAAGCAACCUACCCACGAAGACUGGGAUAAUCUCUGGAAACGGGGACUAAUACCGGAUAGGUAAUCGGAAGGCAUCUUCUGGUUAUUAAAGGUUAAAAACACUGGUGGAUGGGCUUAUGGCGCAUUAGUUAGUUGGUGAGGUAACGGCCCACCAAGACGAUGAUGCGUAGCCGGCCUGAGAGGGUGAACGGCCACAUUGGGACUGAGACACGGCCCAGACUCCUACGGGAGGCAGCAGUAGGGAAUUUUCGGCAAUGGGGGCAACCCUGACCGAGCAACGCCGCGUGAAUGAAGACGGCCUUCGGGUUGUAAAGCUCUGUUGUAAGGGAAGAACGGUAGAUAGAGAAUAUCUAAGUGACGGUACCUUACCAGAAAGCCACGGCUAACUACGUG